rnacentral:rRNA from 1 species
ACGAACGCUGGCGGCGUGCCUCAUACAUGCAAGUAGAACGCACAGUUUAUACCGUAGCUUGCUACACCAUAGACUGUGAGUUGCGAACGGGUGAGUAACGCGUAGGUAACCUGCCUGGUAGCGGGGGAUAACUAUUGGAAACGAUAGCUAAUACCGCAUAAUAUUAAUUAUUGCAUGAUAAUUAAUUGAAAGGUGCAAUUGCACCACUACCAGAUGGACCUGCGUUGUAUUAGCUAGUAGGUGAGGUAACGGCUCACCUAGGCGACGAUACAUAGCCGACCUGAGAGGGUGAUCGGCCACACUGGGACUGAGACACGGCCCAGACUCCUACGGGAGGCAGCAGUAGGGAAUCUUCGGCAAUGGACGAAAGUCUGACCGAGCAACGCCGCGUGAGUGAAGAAGGUUUUCGGAUCGUAAAGCUCUGUUGUAAGAGAAGAACGGGUGUGAGAGUGGAAAGUUCACACUGUGACGGUAUCUUACCAGAAAGGGACGGCUAACUACGUG